rnacentral:siRNA from 1 species
UUUCAACAAUAUAGUUUUCUUAUU